CAUCUUUAUGCGACCGCAAUCGCGUACGUGCCGUCCCUAUCUAUACUAUUAUUGUUCCUACUUACGCCACCGCACGAUAUAUUUUAGAUCGUGAUGCGGAAGAAAGGCAGUUAUGUAGGUAACGGCGCUAAGCACGCACGGCCCGCAAUCCUCCGUUACCUUCGCCGUCUUUUUACAGCUACGACUUGGAAAAAGACACUCAACGAGCAGGUUGAAAAUUGAUACGAUAUAGAUUUUCGAGAAAGCCUCGCGAAUUUAACGAUGGCGUGUGAAUGCGAUAUUAUGUGCAUUACGAGAAACGCAUCUUUCAUAGUUUAGACCUGCAGAUAAACACCGUACGUUACUGUACGCCACAUGUUCCAUGAUUACCGCACGCGCGCGCGCACACACACACACACACACACACACACACACA